rnacentral:lncRNA from 1 species
AGUGUAGAAAACCAACCAAACCAAACCCAAACCAACAAAACCCUUCACCUAAAACCCGAAGCUACCCAGACCUCAGAAUUUUGGAUGUCUAUUAAGUUGGCGGGUCAGUAAUGCAAGAGAACCCUUCCACCGGAUCUGACGCACUAAGAAGGCUAGACAGUUUGAAAAGAGCCCCUAUCAAAGCAACCUGAAUUCUGCUAAAAUUGAAGCAAGAACAAACAUGGAGUUUCUGGUGAAGAAUGAUGAAAUUGAUGCCUUAUGAAAAGUUUAUGAGGACAAUGCCCCAAAUAAAUCAUCAGUCUACAAAUGCAUAACUCAUUUUAAGAAACGAGGAGAUGGACAAGCAUGGUGGCUCAUGCCUGUAAUCCCAGCACUUUGGGAGGAUUAUGCACGAGCCUCUCUCAAGCCCAGGAGUUUGAGACCAGCCUGGGCAACAUAGCGAGACCUCAUCUCACUAAAAAUUUAAAAAUUAGCCAAGUGUGGUGGUGCACACCUGUAGUUCCAGCGUCUUGGGAGGCUGAGGCAGGAGGAUUGCUUGAGCCCAGCAGUUCAAGGUUGCAGUGAGCUAUGAUUGCACCACCGUGCUGCAGCCUGGGUAACAGAGUGAGAACCUGUCUCAACAAAAAGGGGAGGAGAUGAUGUUGAAGAUACAGAUAGUGGCAGACUAUCCACAUCACUUUGUGAGGAAAAAAAUUCAUCUUGUUUGUGCCCUAAUUGAAGAGAACUGACAACAGCAGAAACAAUAGCCAACACCAUAGACAUCUCAGUUGGGUCAGUUUACACAAUUCUGACUGAAAAGUUACAGUGGAGCAAACUUUCAACUCGAUAGGUAACAAAACUGUUGUACCCAGAUCUGCUACAGUUAAGAGGAGAGCUUUCAGUGGAAAGUUUAAACAAGUGGGGUCAAGAUCCUUGAUAUGGCUUUGUGACCUCACCCAAAUCUCAUCUUGAAUUGUAAUCCCCAGCUAUUGAGGGAAAGACCUGGUGGGAGGUGAUUGGAUCAUGGGGGCAGUUUCCCCCAUGCUGUCCUCAUGAUAGUGAGGGUGUUCCCAUGAGAUCUGAUGGUUUUAUAAGUAGCAGUUUCCUGUGGGCUUUUCACUUACUGUUUUUCCUGCCACCAUGUGAAGAAGGUCUUUGCUUCCCCUUUGCCUUCCACCAUGAUUAUAAGUUUCCUGAGGCCUCCUGGGACAUGCGGAAUUGUGACUCAAUUAAACCUGUUUUCUUUAUAAA